UCUCGUAGGUUAAGUUAGUAGAGGAUGACCUCAUUGAACGAUCGCUACCGGAGGAGGAGGAGGAGACAGCGGCAGCGCCGCCGGGACGACGAGACGUAGGAGCGGCGCGUGCCGGUGCCGACGACGCGGUUCGCGUCGUCGUUGUCGCCGCCAUUCUUCAGGGUGAGGGUGGUGCGCGGGGGCGUGCGGGUGCCCCGCGGCGGAGGAAGAAGGGGCGGCCGGUAGCCAGGUGGCAGGAUGCCGAUGCCUAGGGGAGGAGGGGGCCGACGGUAGGGCGGAGGAGGACGCCGGUGGGGCAGGGGAGGGCGCCGGUUAAGGUCGAGGUUGUCGUGGUUACAGCUGCGGCCGCCGACCGAGCUGCGGUCCCGGUGGACCAUGCCGCGCGGGUUCCCGCGGCCCGGGCUGCUGUUGCCGCCGCGGACGCCCAAGUUCUUGCAGUUGGACGGCGGGAAGAGGCGGUACUGGAGGACGCCGUUGCUCGGCGAGAAGUUCCUGCCGUUCCCUACGCCGAGUACGAUGGUCUAUGCCACGCACAGCCGCCCGGUGGGCCGCACGAGCCCGCACGGCCUCUGCCACUAGUAGUGCCUGUACUUGAUGAUGGGCCACAGGGCGAAGGUGAAGCUGGAGUCGCCGUGGCGGAAGCCGCGGUACCGGUUCCUGCCGGCGUUGCUGCUCGAGGCGGUGCGGCCGUAGUAGCUGUACGUCAAGUCCUCCCACGGCACGGUCAUGGGCCCCGACUGCCACUGCAAGGUGCAUGUCGUGCCCAGCUUGGGCAUGAUGGACCGCUAGGACCACCUCAUGCUCUUGCCUCUGCCGCUGCACCUGGUCCACCUGUAGUACGUCAGCGCCGGCCUGCAGCGGCCUCUUCCGCCCUACCGCGGCUGCCCCCUCACCCACGGCUACUGGCUCAGCACCCCCAGGUAGACCGCCUACCUGUGCGCCGCGGGGUACGUCCCGGGGAAGAGCGACGCGUAGUGGUUGCUCAGGCCGUUCUGCGAGCAGCGGCUGGUCCAGUAGGGGCGGCUGACCCUCGGGUUGCUCUAGAUGUCGAGGUAGUAGGUCAAGCUGAUCGGGUAGUUUAUAACUAGGUGU
rnacentral:rRNA from 1 species